GACGAACGCUGGCGGCGUGCUUAACACAUGCAAGUCGAACGGUAAGGCCCUUCGGGGUACACAAGUGGCGAACGGGUGAGUAACACGUGGGUGAUCUGCCCUGCACUUCGGGAUAAGCCUGGGAAACUGGGUCUAAUACCGGAUAGGACUCCUGGCUUCAUGGUUGGGGGUGGAAAGCUUUUGCGGUGUGGGAUGGGGCCGCGGCCUAUCAGCUUGUUGGUGGGGUAAUGGCCUACCAAGGCGACGACGGGUAGCCGGCCUGAGAGGGUGACCGGUCACACUGGGACUGAGAUACGGCCCAGACUCCUACGGGAGGCAGCAGUGGGGAAUAUUGCACAAUGGGCGCAAGCCUGAUGCAGCGACGCCGCGUGAGGGAUGACGGCCUUCGGGUUGUAAACCUCUUUCAGCUAUGACGAAGCGCAAGUGACGGUAGUAGCAGAAGAAGGACCGGCCAACUACGUGCCAGCCGCCGCGGUAA
rnacentral:rRNA from 1 species